GCCGUUUUUUCUCAGCAGCUGCACGCUUCUGAGAAAUGGCAGCACGCACUCGCUCCUUGUACUUAUUUUCCCAAGUCAUCUUUCGUACCAAUGACAUAGAUGACCUUUCCAUCAGUGAGGCCCUUCGUUGCCUGUAAGCCUUCAGGAUAAGCAUUCUAUUGGCCUCUGCUUGCUGUGCCCUAAUUGCAACUUCUUUGCCAAGCUUCUCACGCUCUUUCUCUUUACGUCUCUCCACAACAGUUUUAGCGACUUGUCGUACCUCAUCCACCAUAGCAAGACGCUUCUGAGCAUUAGCCAAUAUGCUCAACCUCUUCUGCUCUGCAGCCAGAAGUUUUGCUUCAAGCCGCUGACCAAGGUCUCCCUCCUGAGAAGAGGAAU
rnacentral:misc_RNA from 1 species